rnacentral:lncRNA from 13 species
AAACAAUCACUCACAAAAAAACAUGAGGGAACAGAGGGUUAAAUAAUGAACAAGUAAUUGGGUGAUUGAAACCAGGUGUGAAAAACAAAGACAAAACAAAUGGAAAAUGAAAAGUGGAUCAGCGAUGGCUAGAAGGCCGGUGACGUCGACCGCCGAACGCCGUCCGAACAAGGAGAGGGACCGACUUCGGCGGAAGUCGUGACAGGUAGUGGGUUUAAAUUCCAGGCAAGGACAUGUUGAAUAAUAAUUACUGUAUAAAUAAACAUACAAAAUGUAUUCAUGUGUGUCAAGUAUGUACAUUCCGGGGACAUCCUAACAACACAUUUUUGUUUGCAGGAUAUGUGUGAAUCCACAUGUGAAAGAUUAUGUAUAAAUCCACAAGAAACAACAUGAUUUCACAUGUGAAACUUCAUGUGAAAUAUCAUCACUUGUGAAGUGUUCCAAAACCACAUGGUUUCACACGAUUUCACAUGUGAAAGGUUAUGUGAUCAAAUGUGAAAAUCCAUGUGAAACUUCAUGUGAAAUGUCGUCACAUUUGAAGUGUUCCAAAACCACAUGAUUUUCAUGUGAAAUCAUGUGGUUUUUCUGUAAGGGUUUACCCACAAAAAUAUGAUAACGUACAUAAUUGUGGUCUUAUUUUCUCAUUUUUAAUGUGAAUCUAAGUUAUUCUAUGUUUCCCCAGCUCUGGUUAUUAGUUUAUGGGACAAUAGCAUUAAUGUUUAAUGGCCGGUAAAUAAUUCAGUACCUUUAUGUUCGUCUGUGGUUCACUACCAGUUCUGAUUGAGUCACUUCAAGACGUCUUUUGUGGAUGGAGGGUCCUUCAGCCUAAAUGACACUCGGCCAAAUAGCACUUAAGUACCUGCUCAAUAUUUUAACAGGGUUGCCAUGAAAGAAGGCCUGGGAAUGGAAUGGCGGGGCUGGUCCUUUUUAGUACAGACCUCAAGGACCCAGGCCUUUAUGAAACCAGGACCAGAUGUCAGACAGCCACAGCCCCAAUUAAUCUCCAAGGCCUUGUAACAAGCCCCGAGAAGAAACUAAAAAAAAUAU